GAUGAACGCUGGCGGCGUGCCUAACACGUGCGAGUCGAGCGGAGAGAGUAGAGUACUUGUACAAAGCUCUUUCAGCGGCGGACGGGUGAGUAACACGUGAGUAAUCUGCCUUGAACUGGGGAAUAACACAGUGAAAAUUGUGCUAAUACCGCAUAAUGUCACGACCUGGCAUCAGGAUGUGACCAAAGGAGCAAUCCGGUUUGAGAUGAACUCGCGUCCGAUUAGGUAGUUGGUGAGGUAACGGCCCACCAAGCCGACGAUCGGUAGCCGAACUGAGAGGUUGAUCGGCCACAUUGGGACUGAGACACGGCCCAGACUCCUACGGGAGGCAGCAGUGGGGAAUAUUGGGCAAUGGGCGAAAGCCUGACCCAGCAACGCCGCGUGAAGGACGAAGGCCUUCGGGUUGUAAACUUCUUUGAUCAGGGACGAAUAAAUGACGGUACCUGAAGAACAAGCCACGGCUAACUACGUGCCAGCAGCCGCAGUAAGAC
rnacentral:rRNA from 1 species